rnacentral:misc_RNA from 1 species
AAACUGCCGCAGAGACGCUGUCUAGUUUUUCGAGUUUCUGCACAGUAAAGCAACUGUCUCGCAUUGGUCCAUCGUGAUCGGUGUUAGGCGGGUUUCUUGUUGAGAGGUUGGGUUCGCCCAUUCUUUCAGUUAUUGAGUGAGUUGGCUGUUUGUGAGAGGAAAUUGUUCCAUCCAAUCACUGAACUGUCGAGGUUGGUGUUGUUCGGCUGGGCCAUUCGGGAUGUCUGAUUAAUUUUUGAGUCCUGGUCCUGUUCGCAACUUCAUCAUGCUGGCCUUGUGUUGGCGCCUCGGCGGGCAGUCCGGCUUUACUUGGUUGA